CCCGACCUGACAUCUGUAAUAAGAAAUAACCAGACACUGAGGACACUGAACUUGUCUGUGAACAAUCUGGAGGGUCCUCAUUUCAGGGAUGUGAUGGAAGCUCUGACAACAAGCCGGAUAGAGGAAUUACAUUUAAUGAAUAAUCA